rnacentral:sRNA from 1 species
AUUUAAACCUGAUAGAAACGGAAAUACUUUUUGUACUCAAAACGAGAAAGAUUGCCACGCCGUUCCUCCUCGCAAUGACGAAAAAUGGAUGGAAUGGCUGAAGUUAAAAAGAUUGAAGUGGAUAGCAGGACUGAAC